rnacentral:lncRNA from 1 species
CUUCUUUUUUUGUGGGGGGGGGAGAUACGUUUCAAUCAUUUGAUUUUGAUUUUCUUUUUUUUUAACACGAAGGCUCCUCCAGAGCCGGCCGUGUUGGAAAGGAAAUCUGUCCCGGUCGCUGCAAGUCGUCCUGUCUGCCCAGUGAAUAUGCAGUUCUCUCAUAUAAAUGCGAUCAUCCUGACCAUGUCUUCUGCUGCAAACAUUCAGAAAAUUCCCCAUUCAAAGCUGAGCAAAUAGCCUGUUGGGGUACAUGCCGGAAAGCCUGCUUACCUGGUGAAUAUCUGGCUUCAAGAACAGCCUGCCUUAGCAAGGACAAUGUCUUCUGUUGUACAGAGAAAGGCACUGGAAAAUGAUAUUAUGAAAUUGUACCAGUCCCUUUGUUGAUGAUGCAUGCUUUUGUUAGCAUCUGAAAUGCAACCGAAAUGUGAAGAACAUCGUGGAAGAAGCUUUGGAACUGCUUUAAAAACCUUUAAAAAGCUGAGACUCCCAUGUCUUAUAAUUUUUUCACUUCUAAUAAAAUAAGACAUACAAAAUAUAUAAACA